GAGAGUUUGAUCCUGGCUCAGGAUGAACGCUAGCGGCAGGCCUAAUACAUGCAAGUCGAACGAGAUUGGAGGAGCUUGCUCUUCCAUGAAAGUGGCGCACGGGUGCUAACGCGUAUGCAACCUACCUUUAUCAGGGGGAUAGCCUCUCGAAAGAGAGAUUAACACCGCAUAACACCAUGGCCUGGCAUCGGGCGAUGGUCAAAUAUUAAUAGGAUAAAGAUGGGCAUGCGUGAACAUUAGCUAGUUGGUGGGGUAAAGGCCCACCAAGGCGAUGAUGUCUAGGGGAUCUUGAGAGGAUGGCCCCCCACNUGGUACUGAACACCGGCCCAAGACUCCUCGGGAGGCACCAUUGAGGAAUUUUUCCGCAAUGGGCGAAAGCCUGACGGACCAAUGCCCGGUUGAGGAUGAAAGCCUAUGGUCGUAAACUCNUUUUUCAAAGAAGAAUUUUGGACGGUAUCUGAGGAAUAAGCAUUGGCUAACUCCGUGCCAGCAGCCGCGGUAAGACGGGGAAUGCAANGGUGUAUCCGGAAUAAUUGGGCGUAAAGCGUCUUGUAGGUGGUUUACCAAGUCUGUUGUUAAAACUCAAGGGCUUAACCUUGAUCAGGCAACAGAAACUUAGUAAGCUUGAGUACGGUAGGGGCAGAGGGAAUUCUCGGUGUAGUGGUGAAAUGCGUAGAUAUCGAGAAGAACACCAAUAGCGAAAGCAUUGUUGGGCGAAACUGACCAUUGAAGAGACGAAAGCUAGGGGAGCGAAAGGGAUUAGAUACCCCUGUAGUCCUAGCCGUAAACGAUGGAUACUAAGUGCUGUGCGACUCAAAACGUCC
rnacentral:rRNA from 1 species